GAGGAAUAUUGAGCAAUGGGCGCAAGCCUGACUCAGCAACGCCGCGUGGACGAUGACGGCCUUCGGGUUGUUAAAGCCUUUUUCUGAGGGACGAUGAUGACGGUACCUCAGGAACAAGUCCCGGCUAACUACGUGCCAGCAGCCGCGGUAAAACGUAGGGGGCGAGCGUUAAUCCGGAUUUUACUGGGCGUAAAGCGCAUGUAGGCGGUGGGAAAAGUCAGACGUGAAAGCUCCCGGCUUAACUGGGAGAGGUCGUUUGAAACUAUCCGACUGGAGGUUGGAAGAGGAGAGUGGAAUUCCCGGUGUAGUGGUGGAAUGCGUAGAUAUUCGGGAGGAACACCAGUGGCGAAAGCGGCUCUCUGGACCAAUUCUGACGCUGAGAUGCGAAAGCGUGGGGAGCAAACGGGAUUAGAUACCCCGGUAGUCCACGCUGUAAACGAUGGAGACUAGGUGUCGGCGGUCAUUUUACCCCGUCGGUGCCGCAGCUAACGCGUUAAGUCUCCCGCCUGGGGACUACGGCCGCAAGGUUA
rnacentral:rRNA from 1 species